rnacentral:rRNA from 1 species
AAGGUAGCAUAAUCAUUUGGUUUUUAAUUGGGAUCUGGAAUGAAGGGUUUUACAAUAAUUAUUGUCUUGAGUUUAUAGUUUGAAUUUUUAUUUUAAGUUAAAAUACUUAAAUAAUUUAGAGGGACGAUAAGACCCUAAAAGUUUUAUUAUAAAAGUUUGUUUAGAUUAAAUAAAAGGAAUUUAGCUGGGGUAGCUGUUUUAUGUAGACUAAUAUUAAAUGUAACUUUAAGGUUUAAGGUCCUUAAGAUUAAGAUAGUUAGAUUUAAUUACUUUAGGGUUAACAGCGUAAUAAUUUUGGAAAGGUCUUAUUUAUAGAAUUGAUUGCGACCUCGAUGUUGAAUUAAAAUAAACUACAAGGCAGAAGAGGUAGGAAUAGGUUUGUUCAGCCUUUAUAUAUUUACGUGAUCUGG